rnacentral:rRNA from 1 species
UACGUAGGGGGCAAGCGUUGUCCGGAUUUAUUGGGCGUAAAGAGCGUGUAGGCGGCCAGGUAGGUCUGCUGUGAAAACUCGAGGCUUAACCUCGAGCUGUCGGCGGAAACCAUCUGGCUAGAGUCCGGAAGAGGAGAAUGGAAUUCCCGGUGUGAGCGGUGAAAUGCGCAGAAUAUCGGGAAGAACACCCGUGGGCGAAAGGCG